UACAGAGGUCUCAAGCGUUGUUCGGAUUCAUUGGGCGUAAAGGGUGCGUAGGCGGCGCGGUAAGUCGGGUGUGAAAUCUCGGAGCUUAACUCCGAAACUGCAUUCGAUACUGCCGUGCUUGAGGACUGGAGAGGAGACUGGAAUUUACGGUGUAGCGGUGAAAUGCGUAGAUAUCCGGAGGAACCCCAGAGGCGAAGGCGGCGCCCUGGCUCGCAACUGACGCUCAGACACGACAGCAUGGGGAGCGAACGGG
rnacentral:rRNA from 1 species